GAAGGGGCGGCUGGGGAGGCAGGUAGAAGCUGCGGUGGCAGGUCUCGGGGAAGGGGCCCCAGCUGGGCUCAGCCGGCCCGGGGCCUCACCUCUUCCAGUUCCCCCCCACCCCACCCAACCCGUGGAGGGAGUGGGCGCCGCACUAGGAGACCUGGCCCCUCGGGGCUCCGCAGCCCCUCCCUGUCUGCAUAGCCCCUCCCUCCAGUCUGGUUUGUAAGACGUGGAGGCCCGGGGGAGGAGGAAAGACAUGGCCCAUACAGAGGCCCCAACGCGGCACCCUAUUAAACCCUGGGAAGUCUUCAGAGCCCGCCGUGGCCUCCCAUCAACAGCCGCCCCCCACCCCGUACUCCAUUCAUUCACUCACCCAGUACUCAAAACAUUUUCCAAAGCCUACUCAACUACACAGUGUCCCUAGACAGGCACAACCGAGACCCUGCCCACGAAGGGCUUUGAAUCCAAGAGGAGAGACUAGCCACAGGCAUGUGAACAGGCUUCAGUCAUUCAACAUACAGGAGUACCUACUCUGCACCAAGCUCCAGAGCUCACAGAACUGGAGAAGCAUUCUCAAGUACAAACUCCUCAAAAUCUCGUCCUACCAACACCCUGGAUAAAUGGACACAUGAGUUUGCAUAUGCUGUUCCCUCUGCCUAGAAUGUCCUUCCACAUGGACUCCAUCUGGAAAACUCUUCUGCUUCCUGCAGGGGCUUGUUUAUCUUUGUAUCGCAAGCAUCUAUCACUAUUCCUGGCAGAGACCACCAGGUUUAUAAUAAGUUAUUAUGGAAGCCACAGGAAACUACUACACCGUCCCCUGGAAGAACAAGGGAGGCCAAGCACACAGCGGCAGAUGAAGUUGUUGGCAGGUCUUUAUCCAGGCUUUGUGAAAUGUUAUAGCAAUAUAGUUGUGCUAUGGAAAAUUCAGAGACAAACCUGUAAUACAUGAUUGGAAUGCAGAGAUAAAGCAGAAGGUAGCCAUACUUCCUAUUCUUUGCCCCAAGGCUAAAAGAGAGGCGGCAGCGGCAGAGGCAUUGCAAGGGAACACAGUGACUCACAAUUCCAGGAAGUAAGGUACUAAGGAUACGCCAGUGUGCAGAACCAGAACACUCAGAGAUGACAGAAAUGCUCUAUGCCUUUCCAGAGCAGUCAUCACUAGCCACCGGUGGCUCCAGCUACAGAUGUGGCGAUGCUUGACAGCCCAGGCGCUAUCAUUGAACAACUCAGUGGCUGAAUUGAAGAGAGGUUAGUCAUUGAAGUGACAUGAACUGGUGACUAGAAAACACAUGGAAAAAACUCACACUGCACAGAGCAAGCAAAGAGGAACAGACAGAAAAUAGAAAUCAAUGUAGAGUCUGAUGGGUCAUAAGGAUCAAGACGGAAGAAGCAGUACAUUAAAUAUGAAGACAUUUGCAUCUGGUUAAACAUCACAUCUAGAGUGUGG